rnacentral:rRNA from 1 species
UACAGAGGGUGCAAGCGUUGUUCGGUAUUAUUGGGCGUAAAGGGCGCGUAGGCGGUGCGGUAAGUCUGCAGUGAAAUCUCUGGGCUCAACUCAGAGUCUGCUGUAGAAACUGCCGUGCUUGAGUGUGGGAGAGGUGAGUGGGAUUCCCGGUGUAGCGGUGAAAUGCGUAGAUAUCGGGAGGAACACCUGUGGCGAAAGCGGCUCACUGGGUCUCUUCUGACGCUGAGGCACGAAAGCUAGGGGAGCGAACGGG